rnacentral:lncRNA from 1 species
GGUAAUCGUCUCGAUGCUGUAGUUCUGUAAAUGGUCCUUUGACCUACGAUGGUAUGAUUGCUCGCAGUAAAGCUGCUAGAGUUUGACUGACAUGUAAACAUGAUUUCAUUGAGACCUUGUAGUGGAUGUUGGUAAUAGUUGGUCCACUGAAGAGUUGGGUGCACAUCAAGAUUAAAUCUAUCGAUCUUGAUAGAAAGGAGUAGUUCUAUG